UACAGAGGGUGCGAGCGUUGUCCGGAAUCACUGGGCGUAAAGGGCGCGUAGGCGGCUUGAUAAGGUUGCGGUGAAAGCCCGGGGCUCAACCCCGGGUCGGCCGUGGCAACUGUCGAGCUGGAGCACUGUAGAGGCAGGUGGAAUUCCGGGUGUAGCGGUGGAAUGCGUAGAGAUCCGGAAGAACACCGGUGGCGAAGGCGGCCUGCUGGGCAGUGGCUGACGCUGAGGAGCGAAAGCGUGGGGAGCGAACAGG
rnacentral:rRNA from 1 species